UGAACUUAAGCAUAUCAAUAGCCGGAGGGAGAAG
rnacentral:rRNA from 1 species